GACGAACGCUGGCGGCGUGCCUAAUACAUGCAAGUUGAGCGAUGAAGAUUGGUGCUUGCACCAAUUUGAAGAGCAGCGAACGGGUGAGUAACGCGUGGGGAAUCUGCCUUUGAGCGGGGGACAACAUCUGGAAACGAAUGCUAAUACCGCAUAACAACUUUAAACAUAAGUUUUAAGUUUGAAAGAUGCAAUUGCAUCACUCAAAGAUGAUCUCGCGUUGUAUUAGCUAGUUGGUGAGGUAAAGGCCCACCAAGGCGAUGAUACAUAGCCGACCUGAGAGGGUGAUCGGCCACAAUUGGACUGGGACACGGCCCAAACUCCUACGGGAGGCAGCAGUAGGGAAUCUUCGGCAAUGGAGGGAAGUCUGACCGAGCAACGCCGCGGGAGUGAAGAAGGUUUUCGGAUCGUAAAACUCUGUUGGUAGAGAAGAACGUUGGUGAGAGUGAAAAGCUCAUCAAGUGACGGUAACUACACAGAAAGGGACGGCUAACUACGUG
rnacentral:rRNA from 1 species